CAGGCGCCGGCGUAUCGACCAGAGUAGCCCUCCGGGCGACACCCUCGCGAUUCUCCGCCGGCCUCACUGCUUCAUCGGCAAACUAGUGGGUAGUACACGCACGCGACACAGAUUUCAACUUGGAUUGUUUAGUUUCUCCUUCCUCACCUCCUCUUAUUUCAUCCUUUCCUUUCGGAUUACCUUACGUUGAAGUUUAUCCUACGACGCAUCAAGCAGAGUGCUGGCUCUGAGACCGAUUUGGGAUCCAUCGACACGAUCCAUCGACCCGCAACGAACGAUCCAUUUCGCGCAUCGCGAACGCACCGGUACCAUCAAGUGCACAAGACAAGUGCAAUAAGACAA